rnacentral:rRNA from 1 species
AGCAGUAGCCGCGGUAAUACAGAGGGUGCGAGCGUUAAUCGGAUUUACUGGGCGUAAAGCGUGCGUAGGCGGCUUUUUAAGUCGGAUGUGAAAUCCCUGAGCUUAACUUAGGAAUUGCAUUCGAUACUGGGAAGCUAGAGUAUGGGAGAGGAUGGUAGAAUUCCAGGUGUAGCGGUGAAAUGCGUAGAGAUCUGGAGGAAUACCGAUGGCGAAGGCAGCCAUCUGGCCUAAUACUGACGCUGAGGUACGAAAGCAUGGGGAGCAAACAGGAUUAGAGACCCGCGUAGUCCCUGUCUCUUAUAC